UACGGAGGGUGCAAACGUUGCUCGGAAUUAUUGGGCGUAAAGCGCACGUAGGCGGUCCAGCAAGUCGGGUGUGAAAGCCCUCGGCUUAACCGAGGAAGUGCAUUCGAAACUACUGGACUUGAAUACUGGAGAGGAUCGCGGAAUUCCCGGUGUAGAGGUGAAAUUCGUAGAUAUCGGGAGGAACACCAGUGGCGAAGGCGGCUUCCUGGCCUGUUCUUGACGCUGAGGCGCGAAAGCUAGGGGAGCAAACGGG
rnacentral:rRNA from 1 species